rnacentral:rRNA from 1 species
CCCUUAGAUGUUCUGGGCCGCACGCGCGCUACACUGACGGAGGCAGCGAGCGUGUCCUUCGCCGGCAGGUGCGGGCAAUCUUGCGAGUCUCCGUCGUGCUGGGGAUAGAUGGUUGCAAUUGUCGAUCUUGAACGAGGAAUUCCUAGUAAGCGCGAGUCAUCAGCUCGCGCUGAUUACGUCCCUGCCCUUUGUACACACCGCCCGUCGCUACUACAGAGUGCCCGUGUCCAAGAAACGGUCGGACCUGUGCGGCCUCUCCGGGCGACCGGAGGGCCGUUACGGGGAAGACCCUUUAUUUGACGCGGGUCGAUGAAGUAAAAGUCGUAACG